rnacentral:rRNA from 16 species
GCAUGCAAGCUUGCUUGGGCGAGAGUAGUACUAGGAUGGGUGACCUCCUGGGAAGUCCUCGUGUUGCAUUCC